rnacentral:tRNA from 1 species
GCGCGCGUGGCGAAAUUGGCAGACGCACUGGUUUUAGGUACCAGCGACAGAGAUGUUAUGGGAGUUCGAGUCUCCCCGCGCGCACCA